rnacentral:rRNA from 1 species
ACACUCCUACGGGAGGCAGCAGUGGGGAAUAUUGGACAAUGGGCGCAAGCCUGAUCCAGCCAUGCCGCGUGAGUGAUGAAGGCCCUAGGGUUGUAAAGCUCUUUCACCGGUGAAGAUAAUGACGGUAACCGGAGAAGAAGCCCCGGCUAACUUCGUGCCAGCAGCCGCGGUAAUACGAAGGGGGCUAGCGUUGUUCGGAUUUACUGGGCGUAAAGCGCACGUAGGCGGACUAUUAAGUCAGGGGUGAAAUCCCGGGGCUCAACCCCGGAACUGCCUUUGAUAGUGGUAGUCUUGAGUUCGAGAGAGGUGAGUGGAAUUCCGAGUGUAGAGGUGAAAUUCGUAGAUAUUCGGAGGAACACCAGUGGCGAAGGCGGCUCACUGGCUCGAUACUGACGCUGAGGUGCGAAAGCGUGGGGAGCAAACAGGAUUAGAAACCCCAGUAGUCCCA